UACGGGGGGGGCAAGCGUUGUUCGGAAUUACUGGGCGUAAAGGGCUCGUAGGCGGCCAACUAAGUCGGAUGUGAAAUCCCCAGGCUUAACCUGGGAACUGCAUCCGAUACUGGAUGGCUUGAAUCCGGGAGAGGGAUGCGGAAUUCCAGGUGUAGCGGUGAAAUGCGUAGAUAUCUGGAGGAACACCGGUGGCGAAGGCGGCAUCCUGGACCGGCAUUGACGCUGAGGCGCGAAAGCCAGGGGAGCAAACGGG
rnacentral:rRNA from 1 species